rnacentral:rRNA from 1 species
GAUGAACGCUGGCGGCGUGCUUAACACAUGCAAGUCGAACGGUGAAGCAGGAGCUUGCUCUUGUGGAUCAGUGGCGAACGGGUGAGUAACACGUGAGCAACCUGCCCCUGACUCUGGGAUAAGCGCUGGAAACGGCGUCUAAUACUGGAUAUGUGAUGUGACCGCAUGGUCUGCAUCUGGAAAGAAUUUCGGUUGGGGAUGGGCUCGCGGCCUAUCAGCUUGUUGGUGAGGUAAUGGCUCACCAAGGCGUCGACGGGUAGCCGGCCUGAGAGGGUGACCGGCGACACUGGGACUGAGACACGGCCCAGACUCCUACGGGAGGCAGCAGUGGGGAAUAUUGUACAAUGGGCGGAAGCCUGAUGCAGCAACGCCGCGUGAGGGAUGACGGCCUUCGGGUUGUAAACCUCUUUUAGCAGGGAAGAAGCGAAAGUGACGGUACCUGCAGAAAAAGCACCGGCUAACUACGUGCCAGCCGCCGCGGUAA